AGAGACUAAACGAAAGCACUUUUUUGGUGAUCGCGGAGCCAAAAACACUUGGAGAGAUUAUAAAGCCUGCGGUAUUCUGCUAAUUGUGAAAAACAGCCUCUUUGUUCACUCAGGAGGGAAAAAGCUGCCUUCUCUGGAGCCCCUUCGCCUUCGAUCUCGAAGCCUGAUGCGCCACUGCAGCGCAAUGGAUCCAAUUCAAGCUGAAAGCCGGCCUCCAACCGCACGCUGUCGUUUCUCAUCCAAGCCGGAAAACAAGCCUAUAGCUCACAUGCACGGAGCUCUGGCACCGAUCCAGUCGCUCCUGCUGCUUGUCAACUUGUAUUUAUCGUCGUGGGACCUGAGAACUUCGCGGCCAGCAGUCGCUGUUCUCUCUUGGGGCAAAGAGCGAUGGAUCUUGUUCAACCUGCAGGAGCUGUCAGGACACACGCACGCUGGCAUUUAGUUACAGCACCUACAGUUGGGCUGACGUACUGUAUGUUUGUGGCUUGGGACGCGUUGGGGCAGUUUCCCUCUAGUUCAGAAUUGUCUCCAAUACACUUAUU